rnacentral:rRNA from 1 species
UACGAAGGGGGCUAGCGUUGCUCGGAAUCACUGGGCGUAAAGCGCACGUAGGCGGACUCUUAAGUCGGUGGUGAAAUCCUGGAGCUCAACUCCAGAACUGCCUUCGAUACUGAGAGUCUCGAGUCCGGGAGAGGUGAGUGGGACUGCGAGUGUAGAGGUGAAAUUCGUAGAUAUUCGCAAGAACACCAGUGGCGAAGGCGGCUCACUGGCCCGGUACUGACGCUGAGGUGCGAAAGCGUGGGGAGCAAGCAGG